UGAAGAUAAAGGUAGAGAUCUGGAUGAUGCUUCUACAAAACAAGGAAUCCCAAACAUUUAAACUACCAGAAGUUAGGAAAGCGGCAUCAACAAUUUCUCCCUCAAAGCUCUGAGAAGGAGACAACACUGCUGACACAUCGAUCUUGGACUUGCAGCCUCCAAAACUCUCUUCCAAGGAGUGUUUCCUCAAACAACAAGAGGGUCCACCUACCCCAGAUACAACAGUCAUCAAGAUCAACAACUGCAUCCCUUCCUUUUGCGGACCCCCACUCAGCACUGGGCACUUGGCUGUCUCCUUUCCCACCUCUGACCAAGGGCAAGGUUGAAGAAGAGACCUGCCUUAGUCCCCACCUUGGAGACACUCUUGACUCAGUCCGUCUCCCAGCCUCUCUCUCGGAUGGACGUUCUACCGGAGUGGUGACUUUGUAGGUCAGAUUCAUUACUGUUUCCCUGUGGCUAGAACAUGCCAAGCCAAUGGCAGGUUCUCAGUAGAUGCUGAUGGAAUGAAAGAAGGUCUGAACAAAUGACUGAUCGAUUAUAGGUAUGCUCUGCAGGUAUAGAAGUCUUGGUUUGCCAGGGAAAGUUGUUUGGUCUUAAUAUUCUGCCACUCAUAGGCACCUGGGUUUCCACAGACUGGAGGCCUUAGGCUGGAGCUUGGGGACAGAGACUAGGAGGCACCGGGCAGGUACUGUUCUGAAGAAGGGCAGAGUCUGGCAGCGAGAGAACCGGGGAGACAGAGAGCGGGACUGCAACCCAAGAAAUAUCAGCCCUAGAUGCCAGGGCUGGGACUCAGAAUUGUGUGGUGAUGACAACCACGCUGCCAUCAUCCCUGUUUCUACAGCACCUGACACAGUGGUCCACAUAAAGCAGGCCCUCAAGGGUGGUUGAAUCAUAAUUCCUGGGGGCGGGGGGUCAAAAUCUAGGGACUUUUCUGUUUAGAUUGUGUGUGAUUUGGAAGCUGUUGAUUUGCCCGAAAACUGUGUACAGAUUCUCUGAAAGGAACUUAAAAACUACAUAUUAACUUGGCCUAUGUGAGAAUUAGGUAUUAAGUGACUUUCUGUGAGCUGCUUAUGGUUUGUUAACACCUACACUAUAAUACUCACCAUGCUUGUCAUUACAUUUGUAUCAGAUUAGCCUCACUGUAAAUUUUAUUUGAUUGUAAUAGCAAACUCUAAGUAUGUUUAAGCUACAUUUAUAGACUAUGGGGCUUCAUCCACAAGUGACAACGGAAACUGUUCUCAGUGCUUUAUAGACAUACCUGGCAAGCUCAGACUUCACAGAAUGUAGCACAUAUCCCACCUUUGUUCAUUCACCAACUUAUAAAGACAAAAAGGAAGAUAAGAAAAGGUAUUGCUCAGAACUAAAGGUGGGCAAGGGUGGAACGAGAACCAUCAGUGCAGAAUGCUGUGUAUCACCCACGACUGGGAAGAGCAGAAGUUGAAAACUUCGGAGAAACCCAGUGGCAGUGGGGAAGUGGAGGAGGAGAAGGAAGAAGGGGGCAAUGAGGGAGAGGACCACGAGGCCUGGCAGUUACCCCCAAUCAUUCCUACCUUCUUCAUACAAAGGUAAUUACGUUAAAAUUCUACUAAAGAAGGUCAGAUUUCCAUGGCAUCCUAUUGGCCCUAAAUGUGGAGUAACAAAUCUUGAGCAGUUGUAUGAUCAAAAGGCUUCCCCCCCCACCAUAGAGUCAAAGGAAAAAUAAAAAUUAGACAUAAAGUUAACAUUUUACUUGGAUAGCAUUUGUUCUUUGGUUCCCAAAUCCUUGUUUGUAAACAUAGUUUGAGUUUCACUGAAUAUUUUUCUUCUAGUUAAUAUCAGAUCUUCCCGCAUCCACUAUUUACCAAGUUCUGUACACUAAAAAUGUUUUCAAUAGCUCUCAAAUCUUUGGACAAGUUCACCAGAAGGACGGCUCAGGGGAAGGACUUAUGUGUAAGUGAUUUUUCAGGAAGUGCUUCCAGGAGAAGCAGGUAAAGGAGCAAGGGAAGUAAGACAGGGAAGAGUGUGGUUUCAACCUGAUCCCAUGGAGAACUUUUGAAGUGUAACAUAUGCCUUGGAAUUUGUCCAAGCAGAAUCAAAGCCACCAGACUUUUCCAUUUUAUAUGUAAUAAUCCCUGGUUGAGGACUGUGGGAUUUGAAGGGUUAGUGGUGGUGAGGGUGGUAUGUGGAGAAGAAACUUCUAGUCACUUUGAGCUGUUUAUGCCUAUGGGCAGGGCCCUCCAGUGGCCAAGCGGUGUCUCCAAAAAAGAAGCACAGGUGUGGGGCGAUGUGGACAUUCAAGCCCAAGCCCAGUGGGAGGAGAGGCAAAGAAAAUGUUGGCAAGGAUGCCAGGAGAUCUGGGGGGACCCCGGGAGUGUCCACAGCCUCUUUCUCAUUCUCUCCCCCGCCCCCCUCUGCCACCACUGUCCAUCUUUAAUUCAUGUCCCUGUGGUUAUUUCUCUUCUGGAUUAUAACAUGUGUUCCUAACCUACAUUCUCUGACCCACGCAGGCCUCCUCCAGUAAAAUCUUGUUGUGAUCAGUGAUCUUUCUAAAUCGCAAAUGUGGUAGUGCUCGUCCGGUGCUUACAACCCUUCAGUUACUGCGUGAAGUCCAAGCUCCUCAGCAUGGUUUGCCUGAUGUUCUUGAUCUAACCCCUGACCCCAACUCCUAGGGCUGCACCAAGAAGCCUGGUGGAAUGACCUGCUGCUCUCUGACCUCUGGGAUUUUAUAAAGCUAUACCCACUGCCUGGAAAGACAUUCACCCACCUCCUCGCCUGGCUCACUGUUACUUGCCUUUGAAGAUCCACCCCAAUCUUCCUGGCCUCUGGCUUCCCACCGCACCCUGGUUGUAAUAUUUGUAAUAUUUGCCACAUUCUCUUUUCCCACCAGACUGUGAGCCUCUUUAAGAAAACCCUGUGUUCUGUCCAUCUCUGCCUCUCAUCAUGCUCACAUUCUAUUAGAAGAUAAGGUGAAAUGGAGGAGGAGUGAGGAUCUUUCUUUGCAGGCAUCUGCAGGAUAAAUGUGGUCUAUAGGUUUCAAGGGCCCCAUUCUUUAUGUGUAAGGUCACGGGAGCUGGGCAAAGGGUGGGUCACCUCCAUGUGUCAGAUAAUGAACUUGACAUGCAUGGUCCAUGGAGUCCUCUUGCAGUAGGACUGAGGUGCAUGUUAUUAUCCAAGCUACCGAUGAUCAUGUUGAGGUCUCUUGAUGUCAGAGGGAUCUGUUCUUUAUUCAGAGAGUUUCUGGCUUCCUGAUGGUUCUUCCUUUCAGAAAAAAAAGUAUAU